CUCUCGGCAACGGAUAUCUCGGCUCUCGCAUCGAUGAAGAACGUAACAAAAUGCGAUACUUGGUGUGAAUUGCAGAAUCCCGUGAAUCAUCGAGUCUUUGAACGCAAGUUGCGCCCAA
rnacentral:rRNA from 1 species